ACAGUGGUGUUUCAGUGGUAGAAUUCUUUUCUCCCAUGAAAAAGACCUGGAUUUCAUUCCCAGCCGAUGCA
rnacentral:tRNA from 1 species